UGGGGAAUAUUGCACAAUGGGGGAAACCCUGAUGCAGCAACGCCGCGUGAGUGAAGAAGUAUUUCGGUAUGUAAAGCUCUAUCAGCAGGGAAGAUAAUGACGGUACCUGACUAAGAAGCUCCGGCUAAAUACGUGCCAGCAGCCGCGGUAAUACGUAUGGAGCAAGCGUUAUCCGGAUUUACUGGGUGUAAAGGGUGCGUAGGUGGCAGGGCAAGUCAGAUGUGAAAGACCGGGGCUCAACCCCGGGGCUGCAUUUGAAACUGCUUUGCUGGAGUGCAGGAGAGGCAGGCGGAAUUCCUAGUGUAGCGGUGAAAUGCGUAGAUAUUAGGAGGAACACCAGUGGCGAAGGCGGCCUGCUGGACUGAUACUGACACUGAGGCACGAAAGCGUGGGGAGCAAACAGGA
rnacentral:rRNA from 1 species